UUUUUGUAUUUUUUAUUUCUAUGUUGAGCCUUCUUAUUGCAAAUUUAAUCCUUGAUGGUAUUGCUGGCUAAAAUUGUAAGGCACGAUCAUUGCAAAAUGAUUUAGACACAUGCAUCUAUUUGUAGUCACAAAAGUUGUCCUUCCCUGCCACUUUUUUUCUUUUAAAUCUCUUAUGCACUGUUUCCUUUCUAUCCUUAUAUUAAUAUCUUUUCACUAUUUCCAAAUAAACAAGAAAGGUCAGACAUGUAGUGCAAUUUUGUUACUUCGUGAUUCUCAUAAAUCUUGUAUUGAUCGGUAAUGGUUUUCCUUAAGUAUUAUUAGGCUUGAUUGAUAAUUCUCAUGCUUUACAAUUUGUCUGAUGGCUCGUCGGCACCCAGCCCCUCCAACGACGCCAUCCAUUUCCCUGAUCAAAUCCCAGUUCUCCACCCAUCUAUCUUCAUAACCCAGUUCUCCUCCAAAUUCCUCCCUUCCCUCAAUCAAACAACCAUAACUGCUUGAAGAAGAUACUUUUAUGAGUUUUUUUGUGUGUUAAUUUUCUCUGAUUUUCUAUAUAUGUUUGUGAGUAUUUUUUGUUGUGGGUUCCAAGUUUUAAAUUUGCUAUGAUUUUUCUAGAUAUGUGUUUGGUUUUUGGGAAUUUUGAUUCUGCUGUUUUUUUUUUUGGGGGGUGGGGGGGAUUUGGUGAGUUCAGAAUUUGGUCUUGUUUGCACAGGGCUGAUUUUGGCAUGAGUUGGGGCUGUAAUUUCAACUUAGGAUUGUGGUUUAGGGUUUCUAAGAAAUGGAUUUAAGCUUGUGGUUGUUGAUUCCUUUUUUCAAGAAAUUAACAAUUCAAGCUUGCCAUGGUUGCUGACAGAAACAAAUGCUAAGCCUGGAGGGAUCAGGGAUCGAACUUCAUUGGCCAUCUACAAAUGCUAAGCUUGGGCACCCUGAAAAGUGGAAGCCAGUUGCUGUGAAGACACUUUCUGCUCGGUCGAAGCAGGGGAGUCUCUGAAUUCUUAAAUGAGAUUAUUGCUAUAUCAAAUGUCAGGCAUCCAAACCUUGUUGAGUUGAUUGGGUGUUGUGUUCAAGGAGCUAAUUCUGGCCUUAUAUUUUGUAUCAGACAUACCAUGUAAUUAUCUAGUCCUCGUUGAAUGAAAUUGAGCACAAUUAUUUAGUUCCCCAUUGUUGAGGAAAAAUUACUAUAAAAUCUUUAUUUUUUGGUGUAGGGGUGUAAGAAUGCGAUUCCAGAGCGUCUUGUUCUUUUUUAAAGAGAUCACGUUAUAUACAUUCUGUAUUGCUUGUA